UACGUAGGGUGCAAGCGUUAUCCGGAAUUAUUGGGCGUAAAGAGCUCGUAGGCGGUUUGUCGCGUCUGCCUGUGAAAACUGGAGGCUCAACCUCCAGCCUGCAGUGGGUACGGGCAAACUAGAGUGCGGUAGGGGAGAUUGGAAUCCUGGUGUAGCGGUGGAAUGCGCAGAUAUCAGGAGGAACACCGAUGGCGAAGGCAGGUCUCUGGGCAUUAACUGACGCUGAGGAGCGAAAGCAUGGGGAGCGAACAGG
rnacentral:rRNA from 1 species